CCAGCACUGAAAACAUGCACAUUCAUUCUGACCUGUUGUGAGCAAUUCCACUACUAAAAGCUCUCACCCAAAAGCCAGAUGGUCCCUGUCAGCUUGUAGCAGGCCUCUGCACAGGAAUUGUAACUAACUUCAGUAUUUUUAAUUGGUUCUGUUAUUUUCUUCACAGCAAAAAAAAACAGCUAUCAAGACACCUAUCACUAUGUAAAAUCUUUGUAAAGACCAGGCAGCAUAACCAGUCUAGGUGAACUCUCAGUGGGAGGGGCAGAGAUAUGAACAAAAUAGGAAGCUGUCACCUUGAUAGAGAAAUCUGAGUACGAAUCGGACGCGUCUGAUCCAAUCUGCAUACAGAGGAAAACAGAUAGUUUUCAAAGUUGCUGGAGCCCAGCUGUCACUACAACUUUCGAGAGACCUGGAUUGUUUUCUCUUCUUCCCUUUCUUCACCCAAAUAAAAGUAAAU